rnacentral:rRNA from 1 species
AGCAGCCGCGGUAAUUCCAGCUCCAAUAGCGUAUAUUAAAGUUGUUGCAGUUAAAAGCUCGUAGUUGAAUUUCGGGAUCAAUACGUCGGUCGUGCUUUCGGGUACGUACUGGCGUCAUUGGUUUCUCCUUUCUGACGAACCAUGAUGUCAUUAAUUUGGUGUUAUGGGGAGUUAGGACUGUUACUUUGAAAAAUUAGAGUGUUUAAAGCAGGCAUUAGCUUGAAUACAUUAGCAUGGAAUAAUGAAAUAGGACGUUCGAUCCUAUUUUGUUGGUUUCUAGGAUCAACGUAAUGAUUAAUAGGGAUAGUUGGGGGCAUUAGUAUUCAAUUGUCAGAGGUGAAAUUCUUGGAUUUAUUGAAGACUAACUACUGCGAAAGCAUUUGCCAAGGAUGUUUUCAUUAAUCAAGAACGAAAGUUAGGGGAUCGAAGACGAUCAGAUACCGUCGUAGUCUUAACCAUAAACUAUGCCGACUAGGGAUCGGAUGAUGUUAAUUUUUAAUGUACUCAUUCGGCGCCUUAA